GUAAGUCAAUAGCGCAGUUUGUUUCGAUGAGUCUGAGGUUGAAAGCGGUGAGCGAAUCCACUGACCCAAACCCCGACAAUGAGAGCGGCGUGAAGAGACAGAGACAGAGGGUGGAUCUAGGAAACGGAAGCGAAAUCGUGUACAUGCCCAGCUUCUUGCCUUUCCGUCGGGCAUGGGAUUGCUUCGAUUAUCUCAACGAUCAAAUCCCUUGGACCAGACCCACCAUUCGCGUCUUCGGUCGCUCUUGCGUCCAGCCUAGAGACACAUGUUACAUUGCAAGUCCAGGGUUGCCGGACUUGAUUUACAGUGGAUACCAGCCACAUGCUUAUUCUUGGGAUGAGUUUCCUCAACUUAAGGAAAUAUUGGAUGCGGUCCACAAAGCUCUUCCUGGGAGUAGUUUUAAUAGCUUGCUCUUGAAUAGGUAUAAAGGUGGUAAUGACUACGUCGGUUGGCAUUCUGACGAUGAGAAGCUCUAUGGAUCAACCCCAGAAAUUGCUUCAGUAUCCUUUGGUUGCGAACGGGAAUUCAUAUUAAAGAAGAAACCCAGUAAGACAUCCCAUGUGUCAAAAAGCCAUGACGAAGAACCUGCAAGCAAGCGAUUAAAGAAGAGUAACCAUGCUGACAAGCACUCAUUCACACUUAAGCAUGGAUCACUGUUGGUAAUGAGGGGCAACACUCAACGGGAUUGGAUCCACUCAGUGCCUAAGCGUACAAAAGUAGAGGCAAAUCGUAUUAACCUCACCUUCAGGCAUGUUCUUUGAUGAGUCCGACUAAAAAGAGAAUUGUUUUUCAUUGGGCUUUAGUCUGCUGACCAGGUCUUGAAGAACCAGCUGUUAACAAGUUGUCUCUGAUAUGAUGCUAUUGCUGUCUUCGGUGAAUUCCACAUUUGAAAGACUACUGAACAAAGAUAAGCUGCCUCAUCCUUCUAAUCUAUUUCCUCUGCUGGUCAAUUUGUGUUAAUACUAUUAAAGAAACCCAAUUUCCAGUAAAUGCAGCGUCAUCAUGCCUCCCCUUCACUAGAUCAACCAUUGCUCUCACUCCCAUCAUCAACUACAUUUCAUACUUCCCAAGUGCCUGUCCUCUCUCCACUUCUCUCCCCCUACUUCCAUCUUUUUAAGCUGCUUGUAAAAUUUGUUGCUCUUUACUGCUACUAUGCUUUAGCAUUUAAUCUUACUUCUGGGCUAGAUAGCCAGUUUGUGACAGUGGUCUACUAUACAGGAGCCUCCUUUGCCUACAUAGACUGUCUAACCCGCAGUGAAUGAGAAUUGUAUAGAUUAGUCAAAUUACAAACUCCCAGACCAGAAAGUAAUAGCUGUAAUAUCAUAGCAUGCCAAAAAUAACAGUGCAGCAUGAAGCAAGCUUCUAUUUGAAUUAGAUAAGCCGUCCAGAAUACUCUAUAUAGGACUGACCAAGUGCAAUUGCGGGCUGGGAAAGCAUGUGUAUGACCUGCAAUGCCAAUGAGUACGGCGAUGGCUGAUGAUAGAGGUGGAUUAUACAGUAAGAAGGAUUCCAUUUCAGCAGAAGAGCAGGCCUGUGUCUGUGAUUCUAACAUUUGCAUAAUCUCCAGUGUCAGUGAUGAAUCUGUGCCCCAAAGCUAGUCUUGCAGGACCCCUCUGUCAAUGUUCUGUGGUGUAAUCCACCAAAUUCUGCACAAGGACCUCAAUUUAUCAUGAUUUUAGUGAGGUUUACAAAUUAAUUGGCAAUAUUAAAAGGGUUGAUUUAUGAUCCCCGUAAAUGUAAUAGUCAUCAAUAUAAAAAAUGCCAGAGCAUAAAGGAGAGCCAAACUUAAUUUUGGUAGAGGCUAAGCUUAAAUUUUAAGCCAUAUAUAUUAAGAAAAAAAAAAAAAAUUGGGGGCCACCUGGUCCUCCUAUUCCAUCCCUGCAUUAUGUGCUGAUUUCAUGCAAGAGAAACGUAUCUUACCAUCAUGAAUUCUUAAGAGAAUUAUUUAUUUAUAUUUUUUUGUACAUUUGCUGUUUAUUUUCUUACAUCUUUUUAACAAAUCAACCUUUGAAUUUGUGAGAUUCACAAAUGAAAUAAUUUAUUUGUAAAAAAAACAGAUAGUGUAUGUUCAAAAGAAGUACAUGCAGACAUGUCCGCGUAAGA